GAUGAACGCUAGCGGCAGGCUUAAUACAUGCAAGUCGAGGGGUAGCAAGAUUGUAGCAAUACAAUUGUUGACGACCGGCAAACGGGUGCGGAACACGUACACAACCUUCCUACAAGUGGGGAAUAGCCCAGAGAAAUUUGGAUUAAUACCCCGUAACAUAGCGAUGUGGCAUCACAUUGCUAUUAUAGCUUCGGCGCUUGUUGAUGGGUGUGCGGCUGAUUAGAUAGUUGGCGGGGUAACGGCCCACCAAGUCUACGAUCAGUAGCUGAUGUGAGAGCAUGAUCAGCCACACGGGCACUGAGACACGGGCCCGACUCCUGCGGGAGGCAGCAGUAAGGAAUAUUGGACAAUGGACGCAAGUCUGAUCCAGCCAUGCCGCGUGAAGGAUUAAGGUCCUCUGGAUUGUAGACUUCUUUUAUAAGGGACGAAAAAAGGUCUUUCUAGAUCGUCUGACGGUACCUUAUGAAUAAGCACCGGCUAACUCCGUGCCAGCCGCCGCCGUAAGAC
rnacentral:rRNA from 1 species